GGUGAACCUGCGGAAGGAUCAUUACCGAGUGCGGGCCCCUCGGGGCCCAACCUCCCCCCCGUGUUGCCCGAACCUAUGUUGCCUCGGCGGGCCCCGCGCCCGCCGACGGCCCCCCUGAACGCUGUCUGAAGUUGCAGUCUGAGACCUAUAACGAAAUUAGUUAAAACUUUCAACAACGGAUCUCUUGGUUCCGGCAUCGAUGAAGAACGCAGCGAAAUGCGAUAACUAAUGUGAAUUGCAGAAUUCAGUGAAUCAUCGAGUCUUUGAACGCACAUUGCGCCCUCUGGUAUUCCGGAGGGCAUGCCUGUCCGAGCGUCAUUGCUGCCCUCAAGCCCGGCUUGUGUGUUGGGCCCCGUCCCCCCCGCCGGGGGGACGGGCCCGAAAGGCAGCGGCGGCACCGCGUCCGGUCCUCGAGCGUAUGGGGCUUCGUCACCCGCUCUAGUAGGCCCGGCCGGCGCCAGCCGACCCCCAACCUUUAAUUAUCUCAGGUUGACCUCGGAUCAGGUAGGGAUACCCGCUGAACUUAAGCAUAUCAAUAAGACGGAGGAA
rnacentral:rRNA from 1 species